UACAGAGGUCUCAAGCGUUGUUCGGAAUUACUGGGCGUAAAGCGCGUGUAGGCGGCUUUGCAAGUCGGAUGUGAAAGCCCUCGGCUCAACCGGGGAAGUGCACCCGAAACUGCAAAGCUAGAGUCUCGGAGAGGAUCGUGGAAGUUCUCGGUGUAGAGGUGAAAUUCGUAGAUAUGGGGAGGAACACCGGUGGCGAAGGCGGCCGAUCUGGGACGGGAGUACUGACGCUGAGACGCGAAAGCGUGGGGAGCAACAGGAUUGAGAUA
rnacentral:rRNA from 1 species